rnacentral:rRNA from 1 species
GACGAACGCUGGCGGCGGGCUUAACACAUGCAAGUCGAACGGGCCUGUCUUCUUUUUUGGGGGUGGGUUGAGUGGCGAACGGGUGAGUAUCACGUGAGUAACCUGCCCUUCGGUCCUGGAUAACCGCUUGAAAGGGCGGCUAAUACGGGGUGGUCCGGUUGGUCCGCAUGGGCUGGUCGGGAUAGAUUCACUGUUUUUGGUGUUUCGGCGGGGGAUGGGCUCGCGGCCUAUCAGCUUGUUGGUGGGGUGAUGGCCUACCAAGGCGGUGACGGGUAGCCGGCCUGAGAGGGUGGGCGGCCACACUGGGACUGAGAUACGGCCCAGACUCCUGCGGGAGGCAGCAGUGGGGGGUAUUGCACAAUGGGCGGAAGCCUGAUGCAGCGACGUCGCGUGAGGGAUGGAGGCCUUCGGGUUGUGAACCUCUGUUUCCGGUGGUGAAGGCCCUGUCCGUGUGGUGGGGUUGACGGUAGCCGGGGAUGAAGCGCCGGCUAACUACGUG